rnacentral:rRNA from 1 species
UACGUAGGCAGCAAGCGUUGUUCGGAGUUAUUGGGCCUAAAGCAUCCGUAGCCGGUUUUACAAGUCCUCCGUUAAAUCCAGCUGCUUAACAGAUGGGCUGCGGAGGAUACUAUAAGACUAGGAGGCAGGAGAGGCAAGCGGUACUCAGUGGGUAGGGGUAAAAUCCGUUGAUCCAUUGAAGACCACCAGUGGCGAAGGCGGCUUGCCAGAAUGCGCUCGACGGUGAGGGAUGAAAGCUGGGGGAGCAAACCGG